rnacentral:rRNA from 1 species
GGUUUCCGUAGGUGAACCUGGCGGAAGAUCAUUAC